rnacentral:rRNA from 1 species
AUUGAACGCUGGCGGCAGGCCUAACACAUGCAAGUCGAGCGAGCGGCGGACGGGUGAGUAAUGUAUGGGGACUGCCCGAUAGAGGGGGAUAACUACUGGAAACGGUGGCUAAUACUGCAUACUAUCGGAUAACCCAUAUGGGAUUAGCUAGGAGGGGGGGUAAAGGCUCACCAAGGCGACGAUCUCUAUCUGGUCUGAGAGGAUGAUCCGCCAAACUGGGACUAGUACACGGCCCAGUCUCCAACGGAGGGAGCAGUGGGGAAUAUUGCACAAUGGGCGCAAGCCUGAUGCAGCCAUGCCGCGUGGAUGAAGAAGGCCUUAGGGUUGUAAAGUACUUUCAGCGAGGAGGCGUUACCCGCAGAAGAAGCGCCGGCUAACUCCGUGCCAGCAGCCGCGGUAAUAC